UACGGAGGGAGCUAGCGUUGUUCGGAAUUACUGGGCGUAAAGCGCACGUAGGCGGCUUUGUAAGUUAGAGGUGAAAGCCCGGGGCUCAACUCCGGAACUGCCUUUAAGACUGCAUCGCUUGAAUCCGGGAGAGGUGAGUGGAAUUCCGAGUGUAGAGGUGAAAUGCGUAGAUAUCAGGAGGAACACCGGUGGCGAAGGCGCUCAUCUGGCCCAAUACUGACGCUGAGGCGCGAAAGCUAGGGGAGCAAACGGG
rnacentral:rRNA from 1 species